GAGAGAGAGAGAGAGAGAGAGAGAGAGAGAGAGAGAACUCGAGUGCACUGUGACAACUGUAAACACAUUGAACACAUUGUUCUUGCUAUUGAAUGAAGGAGUCAAAGUGGAAGUUUAGAAGGAUCAAUGUUCCCAAAGGAUGGUCUCAAAUCCUUGAACUGAAGUAAGAACAGGAGUGUUUUCUGUAAGGUCUCUGUUGUGAAAUGUCUUGUGGCUGGGAACCUUCACGUGGAAUCUUCUCAAGGAGGUGCCGUGUAAAGAAGAGAAAAGGGACAGCGCUGUUCUGAGACCUUCCACUACUGUUUUAUUCUAGGAAUAGACUACUGAUGGUAUAGAGAAUCAACAGAUCACUAUAAAGAAGUUUGAAGACUAUUACUGUGGGAAAGAUGGACCAAAGAAGCUUGCUUAUCUAUGUAAGUUAGGAUUGUUCAUGGCUAAUAUAGUAUAGAAAUGGUGCUAGGCCCUGUGUAUACCCCAAAGGCUAUGCCAAAUAUCCAUGAUACCAAGCUUACUUCAGAAUCGUUGAAUGAGAAGAAGAUGAAGAAUAUCCAUACUCAUUCUCUGGACUUACUGUGCUCUGUGUCAAUAAGGUUGGUGAACCAGCACACCAGGCUAUAUGCUAUAUGCUAGCUAGACAAACCUUAAUGGCAUAACGGGGUUUCAAUGCAUCCCCCUGCCAAAGGCAUGCUUAUUAGUGAAAAAUGUAGGAAUUCCAACUGAUAAUGCAAACUCAUUGGAGCAAAUGGUUUCUCAGUUGAUCAAAUAUUUAGCAACCUCAAAAUACGUCAUCCAUAAUACAAAUUAUGGUGAUGUGCCAUAACCAAGUUUUUAGAGGUCUAAAAAUACCGCGUAGAAUUUAGUGGAAAUGCUUUACACACUGAAAGAGCAGAAUGAAACCGUUACCAUCUGCACGGUACUGCCCAGCUCACCUGUCUUCUAGGUACAGGGUGAGGACUGGGGACAGCGACAGAGAACGGGAGAAGUUACUGCCUGAAAACCGGUCUGAAGACUAGAACUAAACUCAAAUCUGCUUAGCCACUUGGGUGUGGUCAUGCAUACCUCCAGCUCCAGCUUUUGGGAAGUGGAAGCAGGAGGAUCUAAGUCCAAGGCAAGGGGAAUCUAGGCACAAGGUGACAGACAGUCUCACCCAGUCUCAGAGUGGAGACAGGAUGAAGGGCGAGAACAAGAAGUAUUAGGCACCCACUUUUUCCAUUGAGGUUUGCCCUCUUCCUGUCCCCAUUUUGAAGGAAUUGUCUCUCCUCCCACUUUCAACCUAUGUGAUUCAGAUGAACACCACUUAAGGUUCAAAAGCAAGCAGAGGCACAAGUCUGGCUAUCCCAUGUCUUUGGUCAUGGCUAGUGGCAAAGGAUAGACACGUGGCAUAAGCCAGCCAACACAAACGGUCAUACUCAGCCUCAGAAUCCUUGUAACACUACUGGGGACAUCUUUAAAAAUUAGGGUGCUAGCCCUAAGGACAACAUGAGCAGAGACCUGAAUUCUUUUACUAAGGACAAACAACUGCAAAGACAGACAGAUUCCCCCACAACAGGACAGACAUGUCUGAAGCAUCUCUCCCCACGUCACAAGGCAACCUUCUAACUUCAUCUUUUUAAAAAGCUUUAACCAUGUGCUUUACCCAACUCUAUAACUCCAGCUCCUCCCCUCAAAUGCACCCAAAAUAUUAAUGUUAAA
ensembl:lincRNA